GAUGAACGCUGGCGGCGUGCCUAAUACAUGCAAGUCGAGCGAAGCGGGGACGGGUGAGUAACACGUGGAUAACCUCCUCUAAGACUGGGAUAACUUCGGGAAACCGGAGUUAUACCGGACACUUAAAGAUUGAACUACGCUGCAUUUGCUAGUUGGUAAGCUAAUGGCUUACCAAGGCAACGAAGCAUAGCGGACCUGAGCGGGUGAUCGGCCAGACUGGAACUGAGCCACGGUCCAGACUCCUACGGGAGUCAGCAGUAGGGAAUCUUCCGCAAUGGGCGAAGUCCUGACGGAGCAACGCCGCGUGAUAGAUGAAGGUCUGCGGAUCGUAAAACUCUGUUAUUAGGGAAGCGGUACCGAAACAGAAAGCCACGGCUAACUACGUGCCAGCAGCCGCGGUAAUUC
rnacentral:rRNA from 1 species